GUUUAUCAAAAACAUGUCUUUUAGAAUUUAAUUUAAAGUCUAGCCUGCCCACUGAAAUUUUAAAUGGCCGCAGUAUUUUAACUGUGCAAAGGUAGCAUAAUCAUUAGUCUUUUAAUUGAAGGCUGGAAUGAAUGGUUGGAUAAAAUAUUAACUGUUUCAUAUAAAUUAAUAAUAGAAUUUUAUUUUUUAGUCAAAAAGCUAAAAUAUUAUUAAAAGACGAGAAGACCCUAUAAAUCUUUAUAUUUUAUUGGGGUGAUAUUAAAAUUUAAUAAACUUUUAAUUUAUAAUUACAUGAAUUAAUGAAUUAUUGAUCCAUAUAUAAUGAUUAAAAAAUUAAGUUACUUUAGGGAUAACAGCGUAAUUUUUUUAGAGAGUUCAUAUUAAUAAAAAAGAUUGCGNCCUCNAUGU
rnacentral:rRNA from 1 species